UGGGGAAUAUUGGACAAUGGUCGCAAGCCUGAUCCAGCCAUGCCGCGUGCGUGAAGAAGGCCUUAGGGUUGUAAAGCGCUUUCAGCGGGGACGAUGAUGACCGUACCCGCAUAAGAAGCCCCGGCUAACUCCGUGCCAGCAGGCGCGGUAAUAGGGAGGGGGCAAGCGUUGUUCGGAAUUACUGGGCGUAAAGGGCGCGUAGGCGGCACAUCAAGUCAGAGGUGAAAGCCCCGGGCUCAACCUGGGAAUUGCCUUUGAAACUGAUGAGCUAGAGUCCGGAAGAGGAUAGCGGAAUUCCCAGUGUAGAGGUGAAAUUCGUAGAUAUUGGGAAGAACACCAGUGGCGAAGGCGGCUAUCUGGUCCGGUACUGACGCUGAGGCGCGAAAGCGUGGGGAGCAAACAGGAUUAGAUACCCCCGUAGUCC
rnacentral:rRNA from 1 species